rnacentral:miRNA from 1 species
UCUGGUGUUGAGAUAGUUGAC